rnacentral:rRNA from 1 species
UACGUAGGGUGCAAGCGUUGUCCGGAAUUAUUGGGCGUAAAGAGCUCGUAGGCGGUCUGUCGCGUCUGCUGUGAAAACUCGGGGCUUAACCCCGGGCCUGCAGUGGGUACGGGCAGACUAGAGUGCGGUAGGGGAGACUGGAAUUCCUGGUGUAGCGGUGAAAUGCGCAGAUAUCAGGAGGAACACCGGUGGCGAAGGCGGGUCUCUGGGCCGACACUGACGCUGAGGUGCGAAAGCGUGGGGAGCAAACAGG